GGGGUUGUGGCUCAGUGGUAGAGCACUCGCCUAUUACUUGUGAGGCCCUGGGGUCGAUUCUCAGCACCA
rnacentral:tRNA from 1 species